rnacentral:piRNA from 1 species
CCCAAAGCUGAAAUUCUUAUUAA